GAGUACAGGGUCAACUUGAACCUACAUUUCCUGCUGACAGGGUCAACUUGAACCUACAUCUCCUGCUGAGUGAGGGGAGUAUGAGGCCCUUGGAACAGGCAUGUGACAUGUACACACUUCCUUAGGUUAAGACACUUAGUCAUUAAAUUCUAUAUAUACAGUUAUAAGACACAUAGUCAUCAAAUUCUGUAUAUAGCCAUACCACCAUAAAAAUUCCACAUUUAGUCUUGUGAUUAGAACUCGCCGUUACUUAAAGAGUAUAUAAGUUGUAAUAUGCCCGGACUGUAUAAGCAAGGAAGCAAGCAAGCAAGCAAGCAAGCAAGCCUGCCGCACCCUUUCUGCACCAUGUAACCGAUUCCUGAAUAAAGCAUCAUCUUGACUCCA